GACGAAGGGGGCUAGCGUUGUUCGGAAUUACUGGGCGUAAAGCGCGUGUAGGCGGUUGUCCAAGUUGGAUGUGAAAGCCUUGAGCUCAACUCAAGAAAUGCAUUCAGGACUGGAUGACUAGAGGACCGGAGAGGAUAGUGGAAUUCCCAGUGUAGUGGUGAAAUACGUAGAGAUUGGGAAGAGCACCAGUGGCGAAGGCGGCUAUCUGGACGGUUUCUGACGCUAAGACGCGAAAGCGUGGGGAGCAAACAGG
rnacentral:rRNA from 1 species